AGAAUCAACGCUGGCGGCGUGCCUCAGACAUGCAAGUCGAACGCGAAAGUCCCCUUCGGGGGACAAGUAGAGUGGCGCACGGGUGAGUAACACGUAGGUAAUCUACCUUUGGAUGGGGAAUAACAACCGGAAACGGUUGCUAAUACCGCAUAAUGCAGCGGCACCUAAUGGUGACAGUUGUUAAAGCGGGGGAUCGAAAGACCUCGCGUCUGAAGAGGAGCCUGCGGCGGAUUAGCUAGUUGGUAAGGUAAUGGCUUACCAAGGCUACGAUCC
rnacentral:rRNA from 2 species